UACGUAGGGUGCAAGCGUUAUCCGGAAUUAUUGGGCGUAAAGAGCUCGUAGGCGGUUUGUCGCGUCUGCUGUGAAAACUGGAGGCUCAACCUCCAGCCUGCAGUGGGUACGGGCAGACUAGAGUGCGGUAGGGGAGAUUGGAAUUCCUGGUGUAGCGGUGGAAUGCGCAGAUAUCAGGAGGAACACCGAUGGCGAAGGCAGAUCUCUGGGCCGUAACUGACGCUGAGGAGCGAAAGCAUGGGGAGCAAACGGG
rnacentral:rRNA from 1 species